GCUGUUAUGUUGUCUCUUCUCUUCACUCUUCCCUCCGUCCCACUUAAAAUUCCCUCCCUGCAUUUCAUCCGAGCGUGACAGUUUGUGUGACAUGAUCCACACAACAUCAGCCCUCCCUCACACAGGAGGACCUCACCGACUGGGAGUGUGUUUCACAGUGGUCGUUUGGUCAGCAUUGCAUCAACAUGGGCGUGCAUGUGUGGCAUAUCCCGCCGUGCCUGGUUUGCAGCGGAGCGCAGGGCAGCUGACAGAAGUUGAACACAUCGCUCUUCUUGAACCGUUCAGCUCCAAGAGUUCUCGAGAAACUGCGUCCAGGUUCGCCUCCCGAUUGGCUCAUAUCAGUCACGAGUCGUCUGCCAGCCGCAAAUGCAGAGCGUUGCUAACAUUUACCGUCAGUCGUGGGUCCAAGAAUAGAAAACCCCUGGUCUUUGGUUUUUGCCAUUGCUGUUUCUUGUCCAAUGCAUUUUUCGAAAGUAAGCAGUCACCUGCCAAGUAGACAGUCUGCUUCCUGUUUACACCAGCGUGUGCACGACCAGCGCAUCACAUGAAUUGGUCAUGUGUUCUGAGAU